CCUACGUGAGGCAGCAGUGGGGAAUAUUGCGCAAUGGGCGAAAGCCUGACGCAGCGACGCCGCGUGAGGGAUGAAGGUCUUCGGAUCAUAAACCUCUGUCAGCAGGGAAGAACGGUCACUGUGCUAAUCAGCAGUGAAUUGACGGUACCUGCAAAGGAAGCACCGGCUAACUCCGUGCCAGCAGCCGCGGUAAUACGGAGGGUGCGAGCGUUAAUCGGAAUUACUGGGCGUAAAGCGCUCGUAGGCGGUAUGUCAAGUCAAGGGUGAAAUCCCCGCGCACAACGUGGGAACUGCCUUUGAAACUGGCAAACUGGAGUGUGUGAGAGGAUAGUGGAAUUCCAGGUGUAGGAGUGAAAUCCGUAGAUAUCUGGAGGAACAUCAGUGGCGAAGGCGACUAUCUGGCACAUAACUGACGCUGAGGAGCGAAAGCGUGGGUAGCAAACAGGAUUAGAUACCCCGGUAGUC
rnacentral:rRNA from 1 species